AUCGAACGCUGGCGGCAGGCCUAACACAUGCAAGUCGAACGAGUGGCGGACGGGUGAGUAAUGUCUGGGAAACUGCCUGAUGGAGGGGGAUAACUACUGGAAACGGUAGCUAAUACCGCAUACCAUCAGAUGUGCCCAGAUGGGAGUAGCUAGUGGGUGGGGUAACGGAUAACCAAGGCGACGAUCCCUAGCUGGUCGAGGAGGAUGAGCAGCCACACUGGAACUGGGACACGGUCCAGACUCCUACGGGAGGCAGCAGUGGGGAAUAUUGCACAAUGGGCGCAAGCCUGAUGCAGCCAUGCCGCGUGUAUGAAGAAGGCCUUCGGGUUUUAAAGUGCUUUCAGCGGGGAGGCGUUACCCACAGAAGAAGCACCGGCUAACUCCGUGCCAGCAGCCGCGGUAAUUC
rnacentral:rRNA from 1 species